UAAUACAGAGGGUGCAAGCGUUGUUCGGAAUCACUGGGCGUAAAGCGCGCGCAGGCGGGUGGGCAAGUCGGAAGUGAAAUCUCGCCGCUCAACGACGAGGCUGCUUCGGAUACUACCCAUCUAGGGACCGGUAGAGGCUGGUAGAAUUGCAGGUGUAGCGGUGGAAUGCGUAGAGAUCUGCAAGAAUACCCGUGGCGAAGGCGGCCAGCUGGGCCGGGUCCGACGCUGAGGCGCGAAAGCGUGGGGAGCAAACAGGAUUAGAUACCCUGGUAGUCCACGCCGUAAACGAUGGGCACUAGGUGCCGGGGGGAGCGACCCCUUCGGUGCCGCAGCUAACGCGAUAAGUGCCCCGCCUGGGAAGUACGGCCGCAAGGCUG
rnacentral:rRNA from 1 species